rnacentral:rRNA from 1 species
CCUACGGGUUGCAGCAGUGGGGAAUAUUGGACAAUGGGCGAAAGCCUGAUCCAGCAAUGCCGCGUGUGUGAAGAAGGUCUUCGGAUUGUAAAGCACUUUCGACGGGACGAUGAUGACGGUACCCGUAGAAGAAGCCCCGGCUAACUUCGUGCCAGCAGCCGCGGUAAUACGAAGGGGGCUAGCGUUGCUCGGAAUGACUGGGCGUAAAGGGCGCGUAGGCGGUUUAUGCAGUCAGAUGUGAAAUCCCCGGGCUUAACCUGGGAACUGCAUUUGAGACGCAUAGACUAGAGGUCGAGAGAGGGUUGUGGAAUUCCCAGUGUAGAGGUGAAAUUCGUAGAUAUUGGGAAGAACACCGGUGGCGAAGGCGGCAACCUGGCUCGGUACUGACGCUGAGGCGCGAAAGCGUGGGAAGCAAACAGGAUUAGAUACCCGUGUAGUC